GACGAACGCUGGCGGCGUGCCUAAUACAUGCAAGUAGAACGCACAGUUUAUACCGUUGCUUGCUACACGAUAGGCUGUGAGUUGCGAACGGGGGAGUUACGCGGAGGUAACCUUCCUGGUAGCUGGGGAUAACUAUGGGUAACGAUAGCUAAUACCGCAUACUGUUGAUUAGUGCAUGAUAAUUUAUUGAAGGAUGCUAUGGCAUCACUACUAGUUGGACUGGCGUUGUAUUAGCUAGUAGGUGAGGUAACGGCUCACCUAGGCGACGAUAUAUAGCCGAACUGCGAGGGUGAUCGGCCACACUGGGACGGAGACCCGGCACAGACUCACACGGGUGGCAGCAGUACGGAAUCUUCGGCAAUCGACGAAAGACUGACCGAGAAGCGCCGAGUGAGUGAACAAGGUCUCCGCAUCGUAAAGCUCUGUUGUAAGAGAAGAAAGCGUGUGCGAGUGGAAAGUUCACACUGUGACGGUAUCUUACCAGAAAGGGACGGCUAACUACGUG
rnacentral:rRNA from 1 species